rnacentral:rRNA from 1 species
AGAGUUUGAUCAUGGCUCAGGAUGAACGCUAGCUACAGGCUUAACACAUGCAAGUCGAGGGGAAACGACAUCGAAAGCUUGUCUUUUGAUGGGCGUCGACCGGCGCACGGGUGAGUAACGCGUAUCCAACCUGCCCACCACGUUGGGGAUAACCUUGACGAAAGUAAGACUAAUACCCAAUGGUAUCUCUAGAAGACAUCUGAAAGAGAUUAAAGAUUUAUCGGUGAUGGAUGGGGAUGCGUCUGAUUAGCUUGUUGGCGGGGUAACGGCCCACCAAGGCGACGAUCAGUAGGGGUUCUGAGAGGAAGGUCCCCCACAUUGGAACUGAGACACGGUCCAAACUCCUACGGGAGGCAGCA